rnacentral:lncRNA from 1 species
UUAUGCAGAGAAAAACUUCUAAAAUCUCUUUUAUAUUUCAGGCAGCAAAAAGAUGCUAGAAGAUGUUGAAACAGCAAAGCAUACAUAAUGCACACAAGACCAGUUUAAUUUCAGGAAGAGAAGGGAACAAGGGAAGAUGUUUUCAGUGUUCAAAUCUAGCAGAAAAGCAGAAACAUCUACUAUCAAAAAUAUUAGCUGAAAUGAUGGAGAAGCUGUGCCAAACAUGUGGUUUGCUUGCAUCCCAAAAUGUAUAGUGGUUCAGAUCAAUGUUUCAGUUUUUUCACAGCCUUCCACGACAAUGGAAUUAGGUAAUAGGAAGACCAGCAUCUGUCCACACACUGGAGAGAGGGAAACAACCUGUGAAAGAGGAAGACAUACAGGCAUAAACAAGAAAAACAGAAGAAGCGAAAAACAAAGCAGUGUGGAAGACUGAAGAGGAAGACAAAUCAUGAUAGAAACAGACUCCACAUGCAAGAUUGACAGUCAGCAUUUUAUCCAGAGAAAUGUACAUAAUGACCAAGCUUUGAAGUUUGGAGCUGGCCAGUCUGUUCCAACACAGUUAGUUAUAUCCCAUAUUUGCUGACUUCACUGAGUUUUUAACUUUCAUCUAUGGGAGAUGUGGAGAAACUGAGAAGAAACAAUAAGAUGAAAUUUCAUUGUGAUAUUAAUUUUGGCAUGUUUCCUUACUUCAAAGUAUUUUCCACAUGCACAGACUAAAUAAAGUUGCUGGCCAGCAGAAGUUUCCUACCA